rnacentral:sRNA from 1 species
GAUACGCCCGCGUUAGAGAUUGCAAUGAAAAUCCUUUUGUGAGACACGAGCAAAAGAUUGUAAUGAAAAGCCCGACCCGAC